AGGGCGCACGGUGGAUGCCUUGGCACUAGAAGCCGAUGAAGGACGUUACUAACGACGAUAUGCUUUGGGGAGCUGUAAGUAAGCUUUGAUCCAGAGAUUUCCGAAUGGGGAAACCCAGCAUGAGUUAUGUCAUGUUAUCGAUAUGUGAAUACAUAGCAUAUCAGAAGGCACACCCGGAGAACUGAAACAUCUUAGUACCCGGAGGAAGAGAAAGAAAAUUCGAUUCCCUUAGUAGCGGCGAGCGAAACGGGAAGAGCCCAAACCAACAAGCUUGCUUGUUGGGGUUGUAGGACACUCUAUACGGAGUUACAAAGGACGACAUUAGACGAAUCAUCUGGAAAGAUGAAUCAAAGAAGGUAAUAAUCCUGUAGUCGAAAAUGUUGUCUCUCUUGAGUGGAUCCUGAGUACGACGGAGCACGUGAAAUUCCGUCGGAAUCUGGGAGGACCAUCUCCUAAGGCUAAAUACUCUCUAGUGACCGAUAGUGAACCAGUACCGUGAGGGAAAGGUGAAAAGCACCCCGGAAGGGGAGUGAAAUAGAACCUGAAACCGUGUGCUUACAAGUAGUCAGAGCCCGUUAAUGGGUGAUGGCGUGCCUUUUGUAGAAUGAACCGGCGAGUUACGAUUUGAUGCAAGGUUAAGCAGUAAAUGUGGAGCCGUAGCGAAAGCGAGUCUGAAUAGGGCGUUUAGUAUUUGGUCGUAGACCCGAAACCAGGUGAUCUACCCUUGGUCAGGUUGAAGUUCAGGUAACACUGAAUGGAGGACCGAACCGACUUACGUUGAAAAGUGAGCGGAUGAACUGAGGGUAGCGGAGAAAUUCCAAUCGAACCUGGAGAUAGCUGGUUCUCUCCGAAAUAGCUUUAGGGCUAGCCUCAAGUGAUGAUUAUUGGAGGUAGAGCACUGUUUGGACGAGGGGCCCCUCUCGGGUUACCGAAUUCAGACAAACUCCGAAUGCCAAUUAAUUUAACUUGGGAGUCAGAACAUGGGUGAUAAGGUCCGUGUUCGAAAGGGAAACAGCCCAGACCACCAGCUAAGGUCCCAAAAUAUAUGUUAAGUGGAAAAGGAUGUGGCGUUGCCCAGACAACUAGGAUGUUGGCUUAGAAGCAGCCAUCAUUUAAAGAGUGCGUAAUAGCUCACUAGUCGAGUGACACUGCGCCGAAAAUGUACCGGGGCUAAACAUAUUACCGAAGCUGUGGAUUGUCCUUUGGACAAUGGUAGGAGAGCGUUCUAAGGGCGUUGAAGCAUGAUCGUAAGGACAUGUGGAGCGCUUAGAAGUGAGAAUGCCGGUGUGAGUAGCGAAAGACGGGUGAGAAUCCCGUCCACCGAUUGACUAAGGUUUCCAGAGGAAGGCUCGUCCGCUCUGGGUUAGUCGGGUCCUAAGCUGAGGCCGACAGGCGUAGGCGAUGGAUAACAGGUUGAUAUUCCUGUACCACCUAUAAUCGUUUUAAUCGAUGGGGGGACGCAGUAGGAUAGGCGAAGCGUGCGAUUGGAUUGCACGUCUAAGCAGUAAGGCUGAGUAUUAGGCAAAUCCGGUACUCGUUAAGGCUGAGCUGUGAUGGGGAGAAGACAUUGUGUCUUCGAGUCGUUGAUUUCACACUGCCGAGAAAAGCCUCUAGAUAGAAAAUAGGUGCCCGUACCGCAAACCGACACAGGUAGUCAAGAUGAGAAUUCUAAGGUGAGCGAGCGAACUCUCGUUAAGGAACUCGGCAAAAUGACCCCGUAACUUCGGGAGAAGGGGUGCUCUUUAGGGUUAACGCCCAGAAGAGCCGCAGUGAAUAGGCCCAAGCGACUGUUUAUCAAAAACACAGGUCUCUGCUAAACCGUAAGGUGAUGUAUAGGGGCUGACGCCUGCCCGGUGCUGGAAGGGAAGGAGGAGUGGUUAGCUUCUGCGAAGCUACGAAUCGAAGCCCCAGUAAACGGCGGCCGUAACUAUAACGGUCCUAAGGUAGCGAAAUUCCUUGUCGGGUAAGUUCCGACCCGCACGAAAGGCGUAACGAUUUGGGCACUGUCUCAACGAGAGACUCGGUGAAAUCAUAGUACCUGUGAAGAUGCAGGUUACCCGCGACAGGACGGAAAGACCCCGUGGAGCUUUACUGUAGCCUGAUAUUGAAAUUCGGCACAGCUUGUACAGGAUAGGUAGGAGCCUUUGAAACGUGAGCGCUAGCUUACGUGGAGGCGCUGGUGGGAUACUACCCUAGCUGUGUUGGCUUUCUAACCCGCACCACUUAUCGUGGUGGGAGACAGUGUCAGGCGGGCAGUUUGACUGGGGCGGUCGCCUCCUAAAAGGUAACGGAGGCGCUCAAAGGUUCCCUCAGAAUGGUUGGAAAUCAUUCAUAGAGUGUAAAGGCAUAAGGGAGCUUGACUGCGAGACCUACAAGUCGAGCAGGGUCGAAAGACGGACUUAGUGAUCCGGUGGUUCCGCAUGGAAGGGCCAUCGCUCAACGGAUAAAAGCUACCCCGGGGAUAACAGGCUUAUCUCCCCCAAGAGUUCACAUCGACGGGGAGGUUUGGCACCUCGAUGUCGGCUCAUCGCAUCCUGGGGCUGUAGUCGGUCCCAAGGGUUGGGCUGUUCGCCCAUUAAAGCGGUACGCGAGCUGGGUUCAGAACGUCGUGAGACAGUUCGGUCCCUAUCCGUCGUGGGCGUAGGAAAUUUGAGAGGAGCUGUCCUUAGUACGAGAGGACCGGGAUGGACAUACCUCUGGUGUACCAGUUGUCGUGCCAACGGCAUAGCUGGGUAGCUAUGUGUGGACGGGAUAAGUGCUGAAAGCAUCUAAGCAUGAAGCCCCCUCAAGAUGAGAUUUCCCAACUUCGGUUAU
rnacentral:rRNA from 1 species